rnacentral:lncRNA from 10 species
GGAAAGGCCUAUUAAUUUCCUAAUGUUUGCUCCAGGACCGAGCAGCCCGGCGCCUGCUGAGGUUUAUCUGCGCGGCUCAGCUGUGGAACGUGCUGCGUGCCAGCUUCUGGGUGCUUCAGAGAUUUGCCAGGCCCAGGAGGGGGCAGGAGGCGCCGGGAGCAGCUUCUGGCCCAUCCAUGACACCAGCCAGGGCCGCUUUUCAGUGCCAGUCAUGGGUGAAAUCGAGGCUAGCACGAGACUGAACGUUUCUCAAUGAAGCAACGAAUGAAACGAGUUCACGAAUGACCGCGUGGGAGACGGAGCCAAUGACAGAGUCAGCAGCCCCGGCAGCCCCCACAUGGCCCACACCCGCGCCACUCCUGCCUCUGCCUUCUCUCCAUGUACAGCCCAGUCCACACCCUACAAGGGAGGGAACCUGGGAGACAGAGGGAGGCUCCAUCACUGCUCUGCCCAUCACCCCCAGCAGAGAGGCCCCGGCCAACAUGCAGCUCCGUUGGGCACUAAGUCACUGGAACCCUGCCAUCUGCACCCUACCUCUUGUUACAACCUCAGCAGAGGGGAGACCUGACAGUUUGCGGGGCUACCUGCAGGUGAUUCGGGCUGCCCCUCCCUGAUGGCUGCACAUCGGGACACCCCCGACCCACCACCACCCGGUUUAGCAGAGCAGAGGAGCUUGGCCUCUGAGCUCAACUGGGCCUGAGUCUGAAUCCAAGCUCCACCACUGGCUUCAGCAAGCCUGGACCUCCCUGGGCCUCAGUUUCCCCCUCUAUAUAAUGGGGUAAGCUAGUACUGACUUCCUUGAGUUGUUGUGAGUGGGAAGUGAGAUGCCUGCUCCCCACGCAUGAUCCACGGGAAUGCGCCCGGGGCCAGCAGAAUAACGGCCCCCCAAAGAUGUCCAUGCUCGAAUCUCCAGAACCUGUGAAUAUGGCGCCUUGUGUGGGAAGGGGGAUCCAGGUUGCGGAUGGAAUGAAGGUUGCUGAUCAGCUGAGCUUGAGAUGAGAAGACAUUACUGGAUUACCCAGGUAGGACCAGUGUUAUCACGUGGGUCU